AAGAAAUCAACCGAGAUUCCGAAAGUAGCGGCGAGCGAAAUUGGACUAGCCCUUAAGCUUUACACGCGUUAGACGAACGGUCUGGAAAGUCCGACGAUACAGGGUGAUAGUCCCGUAGUUGACGACGCGUGUUCAGUGAAAUCGAGUAGGGCGGGACACGUGAUAUCCUGUCUGAAUAUGGGGGGACCAUCCUCCAAGGCUAAAUACUACUGACUGACCGAUAGUGAACCAGUACCGUGAGGGAAAGGCGAAAAG
rnacentral:rRNA from 1 species